rnacentral:rRNA from 1 species
CGAGCGAACGGACGAGAAGCUUGCUUCUCUGAUGUUAGCGGCGGACGGGUGAGUAACACGUGGAUAACCUACCUAUAAGACUGGGAUAACUUCGGGAAACCGGAGCUAAUACCGGAUAAUAUUUUGAACCGCAUGGUUCAAAAGUGAAAGACGGUCUUGCUGUCACUUAUAGAUGGAUCCGCGCUGCAUUAGCUAGUUGGUAAGGUAACGGCUUACCAAGGCAACGAUGCAUAGCCGACCUGAGAGGGUGAUCGGCCACACUGGAACUGAGACACGGUCCAGACUCCUACGGGAGGCAGCAGUAGGGAAUCUUCCGCAAUGGGCGAAAGCCUGACGGAGCAACGCCGCGUGAGUGAUGAAGGUCUUCGGAUCGUAAAACUCUGUUAUUAGGGAAGAACAUAUGUGUAAGUAACUGUGCACAUCUUGACGGUACCUAAUCAGAAAGCCACGGCUAACUACGUGCCAGCAGCCGCGGUAAUACGUAGGUGGCAAGCGUUAUCCGGAAUUAUUGGGCGUAAAGCGCGCGUAGGCGGUUUUUUAAGUCUGAUGUGAAAGCCCACGGCUCAACCGUGGAGGGUCAUUGGAAACUGGAAAACUUGAGUGCAGAAGAGGAAAGUGGAAUUCCAUGUGUAGCGGUGAAAUGCGCAGAGAUAUGGAGGAACACCAGUGGCGAAGGCGACUUUCUGGUCUGUAACUGACGCUGAUGUGCGAAAGCGUGGGGAUCAAACAGGAUUAGAUACCCUGGUAGUCCACGCCGUAAACGAUGAGUGCUAAGUGUUAGGGGGUUUCCGCCCCUUAGUGCUGCAGCUAACGCAUUAAGCACUCCGCCUGGGGAGUACGACCGCAAGGU